rnacentral:rRNA from 1 species
AUGGAGAUGGUGGAGAAGCUAUCUCUCACCACAAGACCACAUCCACAUCCUUACUACAUCCAAUGGUUCAACAACAGCGGCAAGGUUAAGGUAACACGUACUGUUCGUGUGCAUUUUAGUAUCUCUACAUAUGCUGAUUAUGUUGAUUGUGAUGUGGUACCCAUGCAAGCAUGUUCCUUAUUACUAGGUAGACCAUGGCAAUUUGAUAAAAAUUCUGUACACCAUGGUAGAAACAAUCAGUAUACUCUUGUUCAUAAGGAUAAAAAUAUUACUUUGCUUCCUAUGACUCCUGAUUCCAUUUUGAAAGAUGACAUUAAUAGAGCUAAUAAAGCAAAACAGGAGAAAAAUAAGAGUGAAAAUCAGAUUGUGGCAAAGGAAUUUGAGCAACAAAUGAAACCUAAUAAUAAACCAUCUAGUGUUGUUUCUGAAAUUAAAUUGAAAAGUGCAUGUUUACUUGCCACAAAAUCUGAUAUUGAUGAACUAGAUUUCAGCAAAUCUGUUUGCUAUGCUUUUGUGUGCAAAGAGGCAUUAUUUUCAUUCGAGGCCGUGCCUUCCUCUUUGCCCCCUGCUGUCACUCACAUUUUGCAGGAGUUCGCUGACGUCUUCCCACAAGACGUGCCACCGGGAUUACCACCUAUUCGAGGGAUUGAGCAUCAAAUUGACUUAAUUCCCGGUGCAUCGCUACCCAACCGUGCACCAUACCGUACCAAUCCAGCGGAGACGAAGGAGAUUAUGCGUCAAGUACAGGAGCUGCUCGACAAAGGUUAUAUACGCGAAUCUCUUAGUCCUUGUGCUGUUCCUAUUAUACUCGUGCCUAAAAAGGAUGGUACGUCGCGUAUGUGUGUUGAUUGUAGAGGCAUUAAUAAUAUUACUAUUCGUUAUCGUCAUCCUAUUCCUAGGCUCGAUGAUAUGCUUGAUGAAUUGAGUGGCUCUACAAUAUUCUCCAAAGUUGAUUUGCGUAGUGGAUACCAUCAAAUUCGUAUGAAAUUGGGAGAUGAAUGGAAAACUGCAUUUAAAACUAAGUUUGGUUUAUAUGAGUGGUUAGUCAUGCCUUUUGGGUUAACUAAUGCACCUAGUACUUUCAUGAGACUAAUGAACGAAGUUUUACGUGCUUUCAUUGGACGAUUUGUGGUGGUCUAUUUUGAUGAUAUACUGAUUUAUAGCAAAUCUUUGGAAGAACAUUUGGAACAUUUACGUGUUGUUUUUAUUGCUCUACGUGAUGCACGUUUGUUUGGUAACCUUGGGAAGUGCACCUUUUGCACCGACCGAGUAUCUUUUCUUGGCUAUGUUGUUACUCCACAGGGAAUUGAAGUUGAUAAAGCCAAGAUUGAAGCUAUUGAGAGUUGGCCGCAGCCCAAAACGGUCACAGAAGUGCGGAGUUUUCUUGGACUCGCUGGUUUCUAUAGGCGUUUUGUGAGAGAUUUUAGCACCAUUGCUGCACCUCUCAACGAGCUUACAAAGAAGGAUGUGCCUUUUGUUUGGGGUACCGCACAGGAAGAAGCCUUCACGGUAUUGAAAGAUAAGUUGACACAUGCUCCUUUACUCCAACUUCCUGAUUUUAAUAAGACUUUUGAGCUUGAAUGUGAUGCUAGUGGCAUUGGAUUAGGAGGUGUGUUAUUACAAGAUGGCAAACCUGUUGCAUACUUUUCUGAAAAAUUGAGUGGGCCUAGUCUGAAUUAUUCUACUUAUGAUAAAGAACUAUAUGCUCUUGUUCGGACUUUAGAAACAUGGCAACAUUAUUUAUGGCCCAAAGAAUUUGUUAUACAUUCUGAUCAUGAAUCUUUGAAACAUAUUAAAAGUCAAGCUAAACUGAAUCGUAGACAUGCUAAAUGGGUUGAAUUCAUUGAAACUUUCCCUUAUGUCAUUAAACACAAGAAGGGUAAAGAAAAUGUUAUUGCUGAUGCAUUGUCUCGUCGCUAUACUAUGCUUUCACAACUUGACUUCAAAAUAUUUGGUUUGGAGACCAUCAAAGAUCAAUAUGUGCAUGAUGCUGAUUUUAAAGAUGUAUUGCACAAUUGUAAAGAAGGAAGAACCUGGAACAAGUUUGUCGUUAAUGAUGGAUUUGUGUUCCGUGCUAACAAGCUAUGCAUUCCAGCUAGCUCUCUUCGUCUUUUGUUGUUGCAGGAGGCGCAUGGAGGAGGAUUAAUGGGACACUUUGGCGUGAAGAAGACGGAGGACGUACUUGCUACACAUUUCUUUUGGCCAAAGAUGAGACGGGAUGUUGAGCGUUUUGUUGCUCGCUGCACUACAUGUCAAAAAGCUAAGUCACGACUCAAUCCUCAUGGUUUAUAUAUGCCUUUGCCUGUACCUAGUGUUCCUUGGGAGGAUAUAUCUAUGGACUUUGUUUUAGGUUUACCUCGAACAAAGAAGGGGAGGGAUAGCAUAUUUGUUGUCGUGGAUAGAUUCUCGAAAAUGGCGCACUUUAUACCAUGUCAUAAAAGCGAUGAUGCUGUUAAUGUUGCUGAUUUGUUCUUUCGUGAAAUUAAUCGUGAUACUAAAUUUCUUAGCCACUUUUGGAGAUGUUUAUGGGCUAAGUUGGGGACUAAACUGCUUUUUAGUACUACUUGUCACCCCCAAACUGAUGGACAAACUGAAGUAGUCAAUAGAACAUUGUCUACUAUGCUUAGGGCUGUUUUGAAGAAUAAUAAGAAAAUGUGGGAAGAAUGCUUGCCUCAUAUUGAGUUUGCUUAUAAUCGUUCAUUGCAUUCUACUACUAAGAUGUGCCCUUUUGAAAUUGUGUAUGGUUUCCUACCUCGUGCACCUAUUGAUUUGUUGCCUCUUCCAUCUUCGGAGAAGGUUAAUUUUGAUGCUAAACAACGUGCUGAAUUGAUCUUAAAAAUGCAUGAGUUAACUAAGGAAAACAUUGAGCGUAUGAAUGCUAAAUAUAAACUUGCUGGAGAUAAGGGUAGAAAACAUGUUGUGUUUGCACCUGGAGAUCUUGCUUGGUUACAUUUGCGUAAGGAUAGAUUUCCUAAUUUGCGCAAAUCAAAGCUAAUGCCACGUGCUGAUGGUCCUUUUAAGGUGUUAGAGAAAAUAAAUGAUAAUGCAUAUAAACUUGAGCUGCCUGCAGAUUUUGGGGUUAGUCCCACUUUUAACAUUGCAGAUUUGAAGCCGUAUUUGGGUGAGGAAGAUGAGCUUCCGUCGAGGACGACUUCAUUUCAAGAAGGGGAGGAUGAUGAGGACAUCAAUACCAUUGUUACACCCACAGGCCCUGCUGCUAUACAUACUGGACCAAUUACUAGAGCUCGCGCACGCCAAUUAAAUUACCAGCGACCAGACAAAGGAAACAGACCCUCGUGGUCAGGUUGA